GCAGAUGCAAUAAAAAAAAAUAAAAAAAAAAUAAAAAAAAAAUCAAAAAAAUCAAUCAAAGAAAAAAGAGAAAAAGAGGGUGAAAAAGAUGAAAAAAUCAAAAAUCAGCAAAAAAAAUUUCAAAAAUCUUUUCAAAAGAAAAAAGAAAAUUAUACCCUCAAGUCCCUAGUUGACUGAUGCUGAAUGGAUUCAGAGUCGUUAUGACCAGUUGAAUUUGAUCGAAGAGAAGCGAUUAACUGCCAUGUGCCAUGGUCAG
rnacentral:lncRNA from 1 species